rnacentral:ncRNA from 1 species
CUUUGCGAAGAUAAAAACACAACGUAUUUUAAUUAUACAGUUCCAGUUGGUAGUCUGGACACAGUUAAAACUGUAAGUAACCUUCCUCCUUGGGUCGUCCAUUCUUUGCUCAUUAAAU